GUCUGGGGCCUGGAUCUCCUUCAUACCUGCUUCAUGGGCUAUGGCUCCCCACACUCCCUAGCAGAUCGUUAAAUGGAGAAACUUUUGAAUACAAGCGUGCUGAUGCACACAGGUGUACACAGACACAAACUACACCUUUCUUGGCUGCUACCUCAAAGCACAUUGUGCGCUGUCGAUCUUGCGUGCUGCACAAUAACAUGUAAUAUUUAGUAGCUACUCCUAUCUACUGUUAGCUAGUUUAUUGUGAUGGUGUUGUAUUUGUUAUGUUUGUUUGUUUUCUCUACUGUUUUUUCUUAUCUCCAUACAGGUGAUCCAGGUGUUUUGUUUGUUUUUCUUUUUUUUUCUUCCCCCCUUUCUCACCAUCUCUUCUCCCCUCUAUUUCUCUUCCCCUCCCUGUCUUUCUUUCAUUCUUCCUCCUAUCCCCCAGUCAUGUCUGUCCCGUCUGUAACAACCGAAAAUCAAAUCAAAUAAAUAUAUCAUUAUAGUAAAGGUCAAUCAAAUGGACAAAUAUGGCAAGGCCAUGAUGAUCCACUUGGUAAAGUAAAUCCGCUUGGCAUCUUUCUUGGCCUUCAGACAACAAUUCUGAUGGCUAAAGAUCCAAACAGGACAGGCAAAAAAACCCCAACAAAAACAAAAAACUGAAACGGUCCUACUUUGCUUCCCUUUUUUGGGCUUUUUUCAGCCUUUUUCAGGACUUUCUCUGUAAAAUGUGUAGUGCCUUAUGUUCAAUACAUCAGUCUUAAUAAUACAAGUUUGGGGUUUUGUAUCCACACCAUUGUUUCAAUGGUUUCUUUAUUUCUUUAUUUAUAUUUUUCCAACACGUCUCUUAUGACAGUAGAUAGUUAUUAGAUUUCUCCUUCAACCUACAUUCAGGUGUUCAUUGACCUAUAAAAAGGAAAUACUGAGUGGUGUUAUUUUUGCGUAGGUGUAGGCACAAUCAUCUAAAUCACCUAAAUCUGUAGCUGUUUCGACUUGACAGAGCAUUGUGGGAAGAUAAAGCUUGCUGCUUAGCUGUUCCGCCCAUGCUAUCACUGCUGUUGUUUUCUCGUAUCUUUCUUCCUGUUUUCUGAAUACUUUCAUAUUUAUAUAGUGCAUUUCAAGUU
ensembl:lncRNA